CAGUGACGAAAACUCAUCUUCUCUCUGUAGCACAAACUUCCCAGGAAACAUCAGCUCACAAUUUAAAUAUACCGUCACACAUUUACACUUGUAUAAAAAUGACAGUAACUGAAACCGCCUCUUGUAAACAAACUAAAUGAAUCAUAUAGAUCCCAAGUUUAAGGACAUAUAUUAACUCGAGUUUGAUGCAUUGGAUCCAUGCAAUGAGAUAAGGUUCUAUGGACUCGGAUAUGUUGCAGUGUUAUAGAAAACUCUAAAACACAGACAAUUAUUCUUUUUAUAUCUAUUUGAAAUAGGAAAGCUAACAGUAGAUAAUUAUCCAAGCUAAUAUAGGAGGAAUCCUAACAGAUGAUCAAGUAAAGCUACUAUCUUUCUACCAAGAUAGCUUAUGUGUACCUGGUGAGAACCGUUAGCUUCAGGGUGCUGGUGGCCUGCCAUGGCUUUCGUAAGCAAAAAGCAUCAUCUGAGUUUCCAUACAUAACUUGAAACGAAUCCAGGGGCUUACAUCAACAGGUUCACAAAGUUAUAAGUUAGUUUUGCAAGUAAAGGUUUUAACUAAGCCUUGAUCUGCCUCAGCAGCUGCAGUUGCUGCUCUAGCUUUGAUCUCCACGUUGACAAUUCUUCUCGGAGUUCACAAUUUGAUGAUGUAAGUGAUCAGUGGUCUUUUCCAUACCGCGUUCAUGGUCGCUCGUGUCUUCUUCUCAAGCUCAAGAGAAUCUCUGUUUCAAAAACAAACCCAAGAAUCUCAUUAUUCGUCUAAAAUAGUCAACUCCACAACAAAAGGAUAUUCAGUUUUCACUUUCCUUUACUAACUUCUUCUGAAAGAGUCUGCCUUGCUCUCCAUGGCUCAGUCUGAUUUAGGUUUAGCCUUAGAUA
rnacentral:lncRNA from 1 species